rnacentral:rRNA from 1 species
UGCCAGCAGCCGCGGUAAUACGGAGGGUGCAAGCGUUAAUCGGAAUUACUGGGCGUAAAGCGUGCGUAGGCGGCUACCUAAGUUGGAUGUGAAAGCCCCGGGCUCAACCUGGGAACUGCAUCCAAAACUGGGUGGCUAGAGUACGGGAGAGGAGUGUGGAAUUUCCUGUGUAGCGGUGAAAUGCGUAGAUAUAGGAAGGAACACCAGUGGCGAAGGCGACACUCUGGCCUGAUACUGACGCUGAGGUACGAAAGCGUGGGGAGCAAACAGGAUUAGAUA